rnacentral:lncRNA from 1 species
CUACCUACCUACCUACCUACCUACCUACCUACCUACCUACCUACUGUACUGACCUACAGGUUAUAGAAAAGAGCGGUCCCCAGUCUUACCUAGCUAGCUACCUACAGGUAUGGAGGGGGUGUUAUAUUCUGGUAUGGACGGGGUAUUAUAUUCUGGUAUGGAGGGGGGGCAUUAUAUUCUGGUAUGGAGGGGGUUAUUAUAUUCUGGUAUGGAGGGGGUAUUAUAUUCUGGUAUGGAGGGGGUAUUAUAUUCUGGUAUGGAGGGGGCAUUAUAUUCUGGUAUGGAGGGAGCAUUAUAUUCUGGUAUGGAGGGGGCAUUAUAUUCUG